rnacentral:rRNA from 1 species
CAAUAGCGUAUAUUUAAGUUGUUGCAGUUAAAAAGCUCGUAGUUGGAUUUCGGGUGGGACGCAGCGGUCUCGCAUUGCGUUUGUACAGCUGCAGCCCUCCUUCUUGCCGGGGGCGGCCUCUCGGACUUCACUGUCUGGGGGUCAGAAUCGGCGAUGUUACUUUGAGUAAAUUAGAGUGUUCAAAGCAAGCUUACGCUCUGAAUAUAAUAGCAUGGGAUAACACGACAGGACUCUGGCCUAUCGUGUUGGUCUAUAGGACCAGAGUAAUGAUUAAGAGGGACAGUCGGGGGCAUUCGUAUUCCGUUGUCAGAGGUGAAAUUCUUGGAUUUACGGAAGACGAACAUCUGCGAAAGCAUUUGCCAAGGAUGUUUUCAUUGA